rnacentral:rRNA from 1 species
UACGUAGGGGGCUAGCGUUGUCCGGAAUCAUUGGGCGUAAAGCGCGUGUAGGCGGUCCGGUAAGUCCGCUGUGAAAGUCGGGGGCUCAACCCUCGAAAGCCGGUGGAUACUGCUGUGCUAGAGUGCAGAAGGGGCAAUCGGAAUUCUUGGUGUAGCGGUGAAAUGCGUAGAUAUCAAGAGGAACACCUGAGGUGAAGACGGGUUGCUGGGCUGACACUGACGCUGAGGCGCGAAAGCCAGGGGAGCAAACGGG